CAGUCGCCGCGGUAACACGAAGGGUGCAAGCGUUACUCGGAAUUACUGGGCGUAAAGCGUGCGUAGGUGGUGGUUUAAGUCCGUUGUGAAAGCCCUGGGCUCAACCUGGGAAUUGCAGUGGAUACUGGGUCACUAGAGUGUGGUAGAGGAUAGUGGAAUUUCCGGUGUAGCAGUGAAAUGCGUAGAGAUCGGAAGGAACAUCUGUGGCGAAGGCGACUAUCUGGGCCAACAAUGACACUGAGGCACGAAAGCGUGGGGAGCAAACAGGAUUAGAUACCCCCGUAGUCCCUGUCUCUUAUAC
rnacentral:rRNA from 1 species